rnacentral:rRNA from 1 species
AUUGAACGCUGGCGGCAGGCCUAACACAUGCAAGUCGAGCGGAUGAAGGGAGCUUUCUCCUGGAUUCAGCGGCGGACGGGUGAGUAAUGCCUAGGAAUCUGCCUGGUAGUGGGUGAUAACGUCCGGAAACGGGCGCUAAUACCGCAUACGUCCUGAGGGAGAAAGUGGGGGAUCUUCGGACCUCACGCUAUCAGAUGAGCCUAGGUCGGAUUAGCUAGUUGGUGGGGUAAAGGCCUACCAAGGCGACGAUCCGUAACUGGUCUGAGAGGAUGAUCAGUCACACUGGAACUGAGACACGGUCCAGACUCCUACGGGAGGCAGCAGUGGGGAAUAUUGGACAAUGGGCGAAAGCCUGAUCCAGCCAUGCCGCGUGUGUGAAGAAGGUCUUCGGAUUGUAAAGCACUUUAAGUUGGGAGGAAGGGCAGUAAGUUAAUACCUUGCUGUUUUGACGUUACCAACAGAAUAAGCACCGGCUAACUUCGUG